rnacentral:rRNA from 1 species
UACAGAGGUCCCAAGCGUUGUUCGGAUUCACUGGGCGUAAAGGGUGCGUAGGCGGUCGGGUAAGUCUGAUGUGAAAUCUCACAGCUUAACUGUGAAACUGCAUUGGAUACUAUUCGGCUUGAGAGUUGGAGGGGGGACUGGAAUUCUUGGUGUAGCAGUGAAAUGCGUAGAUAUCAAGAGGAACACCAGUGGCGAAGGCGAGUCCCUGGACAACUUCUGACGCUGAGGCACGAAGGUCAGGGGAGCAAACAGG